GACGUAGGGAGCGAGCGUUGUCCGGAUUCAUUGGGCGUAAAGAGCGCGCAGGCGGUUUGGUAAGUCGGAUGUGAAAACCCGGGGCUCAACCCCGGGCGUGCAUCUCGAUACUGCCCGACUAGAGGUAGGUAGGGGAGAUCGGAAUUCCUGGUGUAGCGGUGAAAUGCGCAGAUAUCAUGAGGAAUACCAGAGGCGAAGGCGGCUACCUGGACAAUUGCUGACGCUCAGGCACGAAAGCGUGGGGAGCAAAAGGG
rnacentral:rRNA from 1 species